rnacentral:rRNA from 1 species
GACGUAGGGCGCGAGCGUUGUCCGGAUUUAUUGGGCGUAAAGAGCUCGUAGGCGCUUGCGCGUCGUCCGUGAAAACCCGGGGCUCAACUCCGGGCUUGCGGGCGAGUACGGGCAGGCUAGAGUUCGGUAGGGGAGACUGGAAUUCCUGGUGUAGCGGUGAAAUGGCGCAGAGUAUCAGGAGGAACACCGGUGGCGAAGGCGGGUCUCGUGGGCAGUAACUG